GCGAAACCUUUACACUGCACGCCAGUGCGAUAAGGGGAUCCCAAGUGCGCAGGCAUAGAGCCUGCGCUUUUGUACACCGUAGGGAGGUGUACGAAUAAGGGCUGGGCAAGACCGGUGCCAGCCGCCGCGGUAAUACCGGCAGCCCGAGUGAUGGCCGAUCUUAUUGGGCCUAAAGCGUCCGUAGCUGGCCGCGCAAGUCCAUCGGAAAAUCCACCCGCUCAACGGGUGGGCGUCCGGUGGAAACUGCGUGGCUUGGGACCGGAGGGCGCGACGGGUACGUCCGGAGUAGGAGUGAAAUCCCGUAAUCCUGGACGGACCGCCGAUGGCGAAAGCACGUCGCGAGGACGGAUCCGACAGUGAGGGACGAAAGCCAGGGUCUCGAACCGGAUUAGAUACCCGGGUAGUCCUGGCCGUAAACAAUGUCUGUUAGGUGUGGCUCCCACUACGAGUGGGUGCUGUGCCGUAGGGAAGCCGCUAAACAGACCGCCUGGGAAGUACGUCCGCAAGGAUGAAACUUAAAGGAAUUGGCGGGGGAGCACUACAACCGGAGGAGCCUGCGGUUUAAUUGGAAUCA
rnacentral:rRNA from 1 species